rnacentral:rRNA from 1 species
UACGGGGGGGGCAAGCGUUGUUCGGAAUUACUGGGCGUAAAGGGCUCGUAGGCGGCCAACUAAGUCGGAUGUGAAAUCCCCAAGCUUAACUUGGGAACUGCAUCCGAUACUGGAUGGCUUGAAUCCGGGAGAGGGAUGCAGAAUUCCAGGUGUAGCGGUGAAAUGCGUAGAUAUCUGGAGGAAUACCGGUGGCGAAGGCGGCAUCCUGGACCGGCAUUGACGCUGAGGAGCGAAAGCUAGGGGAGCAAACGGGAUUAGAAUCACCGUAGUACGU